ensembl:lncRNA
GGGCUAGCAAAAUCUGAGAAGAAGGAGAAGGUGGUGGAGGACAAGGACACUUAGUGAUAGGAGCUAAUGGAGAGGAAAGAGGCUGAAGCUAUAAAAGAAAGAGAAGUGGAAACAAUCCUGGAGACGGGUCAGUGGACCGGUUCAAGUGUUGAAGAUUCCACCACAACAGAGUUUCACCCUAGCUAGGGCUGGGAGAAAUGCAAUCAGAUGGUGCCAAGUGCUGUAAAGAAUAACCCAGGCAAGAAAGGAAAAUCAUCUGAUUCAGGACAGGGUUCCCCAGUCAGGUGCCAGUUCAG